AGAGUUUGAUCAUGGCUCAGAACGAACGCUGGCGGCAGGCCUAACACAUGCAAGUCGAACGAUAUAGUGGCAGACGGGUGAGUAACGCGUGGGAACGUACCUUUCACUACGGAAUAGCUCUGGGAAACUGGUGGUAAUACCGUAUACGCCCUUAGGGGGAAAGAUUUAUCGGUGAAAGAUCGGCCCGCGUUGGAUUAGCUAGUUGGUGAGGUAAUGGCUCACAAAGGCGACGAUCCAUAGCUGGUCUGAGAGGAUGAUCAGCCACACUGGGACUGAGACACGGCCCAGACUCCUACGGGAGGCAGCAGUGGGGAAUCUUGCACAAUGGGCGAAAGCCUGAUGCAGCCAUGCCGCGUGAAUGAUGAAGGCCUUAGGGUUGUAAAAUUCUUUCGUCAGGGAUGAUAAUGACCGUACCUGAAGAAGAAGCCCCGGCUAACUUCGUGCCAGCAGCCGCGGUAAUACGAAGGGGGCUAGCGUUGUUCGGAAUUACUGGGCGUAAAGCGCACGUAGGCGGACUUUUAAGUCAGGUGUGAAAUCCCGGGGCUCAACCUCGGAACUGCAUUUGAAACUGGAAGUCUGGAGAUCAGGAGAGGUUAGCGGAAUACCGAGAGUAGAGGUGAGAUUCGUAGAUAUUCGGUGGAACACCAGUGGCGAAGGCGGCUAACUGGACUGAUACUGACGCUGAGGUGCGAAAGUGUGGGGAGCAAACAGGAUUAGAUACCCUGGUAGUCCACACCGU
rnacentral:rRNA from 1 species